GAAAGGUUAUGGGAAUGUUUUGGCUGUAUGGCUGUACGAGAUAAUUUGCAUAACAGAUUGCUAAUAUUUACAAUUGUCGACAUAUUAUAUUAGCCAAGCUCAAUAUAAUGCAAGGAGAGAUUUCUGUACUAGCAUUUCACUCCGCAAAAGAUGAACUUGAAUCUGGCGCCAUUGACAUUUUGCCUCCGUUGGCAGGCCUGCGUCUAGUCGAGUGUCGGUGAAGAAAUUUUAUCCAACAUAAUGGAGAGCCAUGUGAAUGUUUUGCCGAACAAAAUCAUCCUACAUUUUAUAGCCAUGCAAGGUACACUGAGUAAUAAUUUUUAGCAAGUAAGUGCUUGCAAGUUUUUUUUAUUGCGAUGGAUAUAAUCGUGAUUAGUAUUAUCA